rnacentral:pre_miRNA from 1 species
AGCACAAUUGCUGGAUCAUAUGGUAACCAUAUGUUUAGUUUUGUAAAAAACUGCCAGACUGUCUUCCAAAGUAGCUAUGCCAUUUUGCAUUUCCACCAGCAAU